CCCUUAGAUGUUCUGGGCCGCACGCGCGCUACACUGAUUCAUGCAACAAGUUUUGUCCUUGGCUGAUAGGCCUGGGUAAUCUUUGAACGUGAAUCGUGAUGGGGAUAGAUGAUUGCAAUUAUUCAUCUUCAACGAGGAAUUCCUAGUAAACGCAAGUCAUCAGCUUGCAUUGAUUACGUCCCUGCCCUUUGUACACACCGCCCGUCGCACCUACCGAUUGAAUGGUCCGGUGAAAUCUUCGGAUCUGAGAGAUGUCUGAUUAAUUUCGGACGCCUUUUGGAAAAGUUGCUUAAACCUUACCAUUUAGAGGGAGGUGAAGUCGUAACA
rnacentral:rRNA from 1 species